GGGGAAUUUUCCGCAAUGGGCGAAAGCCUGACGGAGCAAUACCGCGUGAGGGAGGAAGGCUCUUGGGUCGUAAACCUCUUUUAUCAGGGAAGAAACAAAUGACGGUACCUGAUGAAUCAGCAUCGGCUAACUCCGUGCCAGCAGCCGCGGUAAUACGGAGGAUGCAAGCGUUAUCCGGAAUUAUUGGGCGUAAAGCGUCCGCAGGUGGUUUUGAAAGUUUGCUGUCAAAGCGCGGAGCUUAACUUCGUACCGGCAGUGAAAACUCCAAGACUAGAGUUUGGUAGGGGUCACGGGAAUUCCCAGUGUAGCGGUGAAAUGCGUAGAGAUUGGGAAGAACACCAGCGGCGAAAGCGCGUGACUGGGCCUGAACUGACACUCAUGGACGAAAGCUAGGGGAGCGAAAGGGAUUAGAUACCCCUGUAGUCCUAGCCGUAAACGAUGACAACUAGGUGUUGCCGUAUCGACCCGGGCAGUGCCGUAGCCAACGCGUUAAGUUGUCCGCCUGGGGAGUACGCACGCAAGUGUGAAACUCAAAGGAAUUGACGGGGGCCCGCACAAGCGGUGGAGUAUGUGGUUUAAUUCGAUGCAACGCGAAGAACCUUACCAAGGCUUGACAUGUCGCGAACCUUUGUGAAAGCAGAGGGUGCCUUCGGGAGCGCGAACACAGGUGGUGCAUGGCUGUCGUCAGCUCGUGUCGUGAGAUGUUGGGUUAAGUCCCGCAACGAGCGCAACCCUCGUUUCUAGUUGCCAUCAUUGAGUUGGGCACUUUAGAGAGACUGCCGGUGACAAACCGGAGGAAGGUGGGGAUGACGUCAAGUCAGCAUGCCCCUUACGCCUUGGGCUACACACGUACUACAAUGCUACGGACAAAGAGCCGCAAGUUCGCGAGGACAAGCAAAUCUCAUAAACCGUGGCUCAGUUCAGAUUGCAGGCUGCAACUCGCCUGCAUGAAGGCGGAAUCGCUAGUAAUCGCAGGUCAGCAUACUGCGGUGAAUACGUUCCCGGGCCUUGUACACACCGCCCGUCACACCAUGGAAGUUGGCCACGCCCGAAGUCGUUACUCCAACCGUUCGCGGAGGAGGAUGCCGAAGGCAGGGCUGAUGACUGGGGUGAAGUCGUAACAAGUAGCCGUACCGGAAGGUGUGGCUGGAUCACCUCCU
rnacentral:rRNA from 1 species